AAAGAUCACGUAAAAUAUAUAAAAUUCAAAAGAUCCCUUAGAGAGCUUUUUAAAAUAAAUAAAUUAAAAGAGGUAUUACAAAAUUAAUUUAAAGCGUUCUAUUUUUUUUAUAACGAUCACUAGAGUUUACAAUCUUAUCAUGAAUAUGCACGGAUUCUCAAAAAGAUAAAUUUUCAAAAAAAAAAAUUAAAAUAGAUGUAAAACAUUUAAAUAUUCAACAAGGUAAAACAAUUUAUAUAGAAAAAAAUAUUACUU
rnacentral:lncRNA from 1 species